AUGAAGCCACGAGCUCACCGGCAGGGAAAGGAAUGUGUUGAAAAAAUCUGCAAAAGUCUCAUCCUCCAGCAGAAUGAUGAGGUUUGUAGACCCGAUGAGCUCUGUGUGGGGACAAGGCAAAGCUGGGCUGCUGGCUCCGCCCUGGCCGGCCCACCACUCCUCCCCUGCGCCCACCCCGGCCCACCUGGCCCGCCCAUCAGGAGCAGGCUGGUCACCCGGGCCGGGCCGGGGCCUCUGAAAGGGGCGGAGCUGCUGGCUGUUGCAGCCUGGCUGGUCCUCACACGGCCGCACUUCUGCAGUGGGGCCAGUGGGGCCACACCCCAGCCCAGCCUCGCAGGGUCAGCGGCCUGCAGGGGCGUGGCUCUGGGGGCCCUCCUGGGCACCCCGCUUGAAGUACGCAGUCGCUUUUCUGAAGCCGAGGACAGGAGUUUGCAGGAUUCCCGUUGGACUUCAGUGUGGGCUGGGGUUGCUGCCUGGGCCGUGGAACAAGCUCACUCCAGUCUGACCAGGACAGCGGAUGGAAGGGCUGGGUGCCGCGGGGCAGGGGCAGGGGUCCACAGUACAGGAAGCCAAGCAAUGGCUCCGUCACCCUUCCUGGCAACACCAGGUGCCAUCCUGGGCUGGUGGGAACGUCGGGCUUUGUGCCGAGCUACCACGUGGAACAUCCACGGGAUGCUUCCGGAACUGUGUUUCAGGGCAGACAGCCCCCCUGGCUCUGGGUGUAGACACCAUUGGCUCUGGGUACGGGCACCAUGGGCCGUCUGUCUCCCUGACACGGCCCUCGGCCUUGCUGUGCCCGCGUGCUCACCACGCCCAGGCCUCCCACAUGCUCCUGUUCCUGUCCCCAGCUCUGUCACUGGAACCAGCGCUCACUCAUUACACCAACCAGAAAACCAAGCCUCCGCCUCUGUUUCUCUCUCCCUCUUCUCUCUCUCCCCCAUUCUCGCUCUCCUUCCCCUCCCCUCUCCCUGCCCCUCCACGGAGCCCCCGCUGCGCGCCGCCCGCCCGUCUGCCUCAUCCCUGCAGCCCCGCUCUCCCCUGCCGCCCGCCCGUCUGCCUCAUCCCUGCAGCCCCGCUCUCCCCUGCCGCCCGCCCGUCUGCCUCAUCCCUGCAGCCCCGCUCUCCCCUGCCACCCGCCCGUCUGCCUCAUCCCUGCAGCCCCGCUCUCCCCUGCCGCCCGCCCGUCUGCCUCAUCCCUGCAGCCCCGCUCUCCCCUGCCGCCCGCCCGUCUGCCUCAUCCCUGCAGCCCCGCUCUCCCCUGCCGCCCGCCCGUCUGCCUCAUCCCUGCAGCCCCGCUCUUCCCUGCCGCCCACCCAUCUGCCUCAUCCCUGCAGCCCCGCUCUCCCCCGUGCUGCUUGUCCUGAAGCAGUGUCCCUGGCUGCACCCCCGACUGUCCUUCAGUCCGUCCGGUCACUGUGGUCGGAGUCCUCAGGACCCGGUCUCCUAGCGUCCAAGGCUCCGUGUGCUCUGGCUCCUGCACUGCCUACUUCACAAAUUCCUGGGUGUCCAGCAAGAACUGGUCGACCAAGGCGCGUGGCGAGCUCAGGAUGGUCGAGUCGGCCCGCGGGGCGUGAGUGGUUAACGCAGCUGUGA
rnacentral:lncRNA from 1 species